GUUGAUAGGUUGGAUGUGGAAGCAUAGUGAUAUGUGAAGCUGACCAAUACUAAUUGCUCGUGAGGCUUGACUAUACAACACCCAAGCAGUUG
rnacentral:rRNA from 1 species